rnacentral:misc_RNA from 1 species
GAAUUUACGACUCUCGUUGACGCGUUAUCUAGCGAUCGCGUCUCUCCGCGAACGGUUGAAACAUUUGGUCCUUCGAGCCGGAUUCAGUGUCAAGUGAAAAGUGCACGCCAGUGACACCCACUACCAUACAGUGCCACGUGAACCCAACACAACCAGCAGCGGAAGCGUUACUACCUCAGCGAGGUCAGUAACGUAAAGGGUCGUCACCUUUGAAGGGGUAUAAUUCGGUGGUUGAAACGCAAACACACAGCCUCCUGCCGCAAAGUGGAUAAUCGCCAACAGAAAAAUCUACGAGACGGAACUCCGUGCCAUACAAAACCAGAUCGUAGCUAUAGACGAGGGAGAGAUCGCGCGCGGCAUUGAACUAGCGGAAGAA